AUACGUAGGGGGCGAGCGUUGUCCGGAUUUACUGGGCGUAAAGGGUGAGUAGGCGGUUAUAUAUGUCAGGUGUAAAAAGCUAUGGCUUAACCAUAGUAAGCACUUGAAACUGUAUGACUUGAGUGCAGGAGAGGUAAGCGGAAUUCCUAGUGUAGCGGUGAAAUGCGUAGAUAUUAGGAGGAACACCGGUGGCGAAGGCGGCUUCCUGGACUGAAACUGACGCUGAGUCACGAAAGCGUGGGUAGCAAACAGGAUUAGAUACCCUGGUAGUCCACGCCGUAAACGAUGAGUGCUAGGUGUUGGGCAGCAAUGCUCAGUGCCGAAGUAAACACAAUAAGCACUCCGCCUGGGGAGUACGUACGCAAGUAUGAAACUCAAAUGAAUUGGCGGGG
rnacentral:rRNA from 1 species